rnacentral:rRNA from 1 species
GAUGAACGCUGGCGGCGUGCCUAAUACAUGCAAGUCGAGCGAACAGACGAGGAGCUUGCUCCUCUGACGUUAGCGGCGGACGGGUGAGUAACACGUGGAUAACCUACCUAUAAGACUGGGAUAACUUCGGGAAACCGGAGCUAAUACCGGAUAAUAUAUUGAACCGCAUGGUUCAAUAGUGACAGCCGGUUUUGCUGUCACUUAUACAUGGAUCCGCGCCGCAUUAGCUAGUUGGUACGGUAACGGCUUACCAAGGCAACGAUGCGUAGCCGACCUGAGAGGGUGAUCGGCCACACUGGAACUGAGACACGGUCCAGACUCCUACGGGAGGCAGCAGUAGGGAAUCUUCCGCAAUGGGCGAAAGCCUGACGGAGCAGCGCCGCGUGAGUGAUGAAGGUCUUCGGAUCGGAAAACUCUGUUAUGAGUGAAGAACAAAUGUGUAAGUAACUAUGCACGUCGUGACGGUACCUAAUCAGAAAGCCACGGCUAACUACGUG